GCGGUCAAACGUUAGAUCUGACUUCUUCGAACGAACUAAAAGCCAACAAUGAAAAUUUCACAUAAAAGCAACCAGUAUACCUGCAAAAUAGUUAAAUUAAAAGUUUUCUGACUCGUUCAGCGGAGAUGCCAACAGUUUCCAAAAUUUUUUGUUGGACCUCGCAUUUAUAAAUUCUCAAAACUUCCUCCACCAAUCUGAAAACAUCACAGAAAACGAGCAACACCACAAUUAACUGUCUUUAAGUUGUAAAAAAGCUUCAAGCUUUGCACAUGUGAGGAUAUAGUGAGAAACCAAUCAUAGAACAUGUCACGAGCAAGGGCACAAGCAGAGGAAAGAUCUUGAAUGCCUCAGUGUGAUGAUAAUCAUCAUGAAACAAUAUCAACAGAUGUGAUUUAGGGAUACAUCUCAUAUAACAACCUUCAAAUGAUAUUAAUAUACAGCGAUAGAUCGAUAUAAAAUAAAUAACUUCAUAAAGAAAGGGUUUACAAUAGGGGGAAUGAAAAGAAUAUUGAGGUUAAAGGCUGAGCUCUGGUUACCGUUCUUUCAUUUGUAUGUAAAGCCUCUCAAAUUCUUUAGUCACAUCGUAAUAGAUUCUCCUAUAUGCAUAAUGAAUAAUGAUGUCAAAAGAAACCCCUGAACUUAGAAUUACUUCCACCUCUUUAUCUUCUUAGUUAUAAUAAGGCAUGAGUGAGCUUUUGGUAUAUUUAAUGAGAUAUAGAAAGGUAUUUACCCCCCUGUUAUCUCGCAACUCCAAAACCUGGUAAGUCUCUGGCCAAACCUGAAUUUAGAUGAAUGGACUUCAAACGAAAGGAUUUUCUUACAAAAGCUAAAAAAAUAUAACGGCAUGGUGAGAAUGGGAAAAUGAAAAUAGAAAGCAAAAGAAAAAGUUUCCAUCCGAUAAGACAAGUACAAAAUAAUCCAAGUUCUUAUUUGCCAUGCCAAUAUUAUUCAUGAAGAACUAAUCUGAUUUCUUUUCCAGAUAAGGUUAGUAACAAUUAAUCUGCAAAAUAACUGAACCAACUUGGUUAUUUUGACAUUACUCUUUCUCUUCUACGCUCAUUUUCUGCAUGGUUGCGGUUCAUCAACGGCCACGUUCACCAAAACGAGUCCACUCUCCCCACUUCACUUAUUUCCCCACCGUUAUGUCUCUCAAAGUGCAGCAGCAAGACAUGAACUCCUAUCAUUAUGAGCAAUAUAAAAAGCCCUCCUAAAAAUCCACCACCUGUUUGGCCAGAGAAACUCCAUUACUCAUUUCCACUCUCUCAAUUUUCAGCCCUUUCAUCAAAACACAAGCAUUACUUACCCAUGUUUAGACAUUAUUUAUUUUUCUGAUAUCACAUCAUUCGCCGGGGCGGGGGGGGACAAUUAACUGAUUUCAGCACAUAAAUUACAACAAGCUGGUCAAUUCACGUAAAUAAGGAAAAUUAACUCAAUCAAGUGAAGUAGGCACAAAAUGACCUCAAUGAGAUAUCAGAGACCUCUAAAAUCAAAUCAAAUUCAGUUAAACAAAGAAUCACUCAUGAAAGAUAAGCAAAAGAAAAAAAGCAAUGAAUAACAGAAAGAAAUUUCUUAUAAAAAUUCAAUAAAAUUAAAAAAAUUAGCUAAUCAUCUUUUCUGGUUAAGUGAUUUCGUCAGCAAAUAAGAGAAAAUAGAAAUUCUGGAAUAUACCUAGGGUUUCUAGCUUUGGGAAUUUACCUAAUGAGAAAUCAGUCUCUCUGUUUCUAGAUUUGUAACUAUCAUGGCCGAGCGACCACGAUCAGCUGAGAUAAUUGGAUUUUGCACCGGCGACGAUGCAAAUGUUUGGGGUUGGGUUUGGGUUUGGGUUUGACGAUAGACGAAGGAAUGUUAGGGCUUUGGGUGAUUUAAGGAUUUUAUUUAAUUCAAGUAAAGUGAAAAUAACUAAAGUAUCCCUAAGUUGGUUACGCAUUUUGAUGUCCAGAAUAGUUAA
rnacentral:lncRNA from 1 species